GACAGAGGGGGCAAGCGUUGCUCGGAAUUACUGGGCGUAAAGGGCGCGUAGGCGGGAUGGCAAGUCGGUCGUGAAAUCCCUCGGCUCAACUGAGGUACGUCGAUCGAUACUGCCGUUCUUGAGGGUUGCAGAGGAGACUGGAAUUCCCGGUGUAGCGGUGAAAUGUGUAGAGAUCGGGAGGAACACCGGUGGCGAAGGCGGGUCUCUGGGCAACUCCUGACGCUGAGGCGCGAAAGCGUGGGGAGCAAACGGG
rnacentral:rRNA from 1 species